UACGGAGGAUCCAAGCGUUAUCCGGAUUUAUUGGGUUUAAAGGGUGCGUAGGUGGCUUAUUAAGUCAGGGGUGAAAGACGGUAGCUUAACUAUCGCAGUGCCUUUGAUACUGAUGAGCUUGAAUGAACUAGAGGUAGGCGGAAUGUGACAAGUAGCGGUGAAAUGCAUAGAUAUGCCACAGAACACCAAUUGCGAAGGCAGCUUACUAUGGUUAGAUUGACACUGAGGCACGAAAGCGUGGGGAUCAAACAGG
rnacentral:rRNA from 1 species